CUCUUCGGAGGGAAGAGAGGGUGAGUGACCGGCGGACGGGUGAGUAACGCGUGGGCAACCUGCCUUACACAGGGGGAUAACAAUUAGAAAUGAUUGCUAAUACCGCAUAAGACCACGGCCUCGCAUGAGGGAGUGGUAAAAACUGAGGUGGUGUAAGAUGGGCCCGCGUCUGAUUAGGUAGUUGGUGGGGUAGAAGCCUACCAAGCCGACGAUCAGUAGCCGACCUGAGAGGGUGACCGGCCACAUUGGGACUGAGACACGGCCCAAACUCCUACGGGAGGCAGCAGUGGGGAAUAUUGCACAAUGGGGGAAACCCUGAUGCAGCGACGCCGCGUGAGUGAGGAAGUAUUUCGGUAUGUAAAGCUCUAUCAGCAGGGAAGAAAAUGACGGUACCUGACUAAGAAGCCCCGGCUAACUACGUGCCAGCAGCCGCGGUAAUACGUAGGGGGCAAGCGUUAUCCGGAUUUACUGGGUGUAAAGGGAGCGUAGACGGAAGCGCAAGUCUGAUGUGAAAAUCCGGGGCCCAACCCCGGAACUGCAUUGGAAACUGUGAUUCUAGAGUGUCGGAGAGGCAAGUGGAAUUCCUGGUGUAGCGGUGAAAUGCGUAGAUAUCAGGAGGAACACCAGUGGCGAAGGCGGCUUGCUGGACGAUGACUGACGUUGAGGCUCGAAAGCGUGGGGAGCAAACAGGAUUAGAUACCCCUGGUAGUCCACGCCGUAAACGAUGACUA
rnacentral:rRNA from 1 species